GAUGAACGCUGGCGGCGUGCCUAAUACAUGCAAGUCGAGCGAAGCGAGGGCGGGUGAGUAAGACGUGGAAACCCUGCUAUACGACUGGGAUAAAUUGGGGAAACCGGUGCUAAACGGGAUACUCUUAUAUGGAUGCUCGCUGCAUUAGCUAGGUGGUAAGGUAACGGCUAACCAAGGCAACGAUGCAUAGCCGACCUGAGAGGGUGAUCGGCCACACUGGAACUGAGACACGGUCCAGACUCCUACGGGAGGCAGCAGUAGGGAAUCUUCCGCAAUGGACGAAAGCCUGACCGAGCAACGCCGCGUGAGUGAAGAAGGUCUUCGGAUCGUAAAACUCUGUUAUUAGGGAAGCGGUAUCUAACCAGAAAGCCACGGCUAACUACGUGCCAGCAGCCGCGGUAAUAC
rnacentral:rRNA from 1 species